rnacentral:rRNA from 1 species
GACGAACGCUGGCGGCGUGCUUAAUACAUGCAAGUCAACUUGACUUUAGAUAGCAAUAUCGAAAAGUAGGGUGGCGCACGGGUGCGUAACGCGUAGGUAAUCUGCCCUGAGGUCUGACAUAACCCGUCGAAAGGCGGGCUAACAUCAGAUGAUAUAUAAUCACGACAUCGUGGAAAUAUCAAAUCUUCGGAGCCUUGGGAUGAGCCUGCGUCUGAUUAGGUAGUUGGCGGAGUAAUAGCCCACCAAGCCUACGAUCAGUAGCUGGUCUGAGAGGAUGAUCAGCCACACUGGAACUGAGACACGGUCCAGACUCCUACGGGAGGCAGCAGUAAGGAAUAUUGCUCAAUGGGGGAACCCUGAGCAGCAACGCCGCGUGAAGGAUG